rnacentral:rRNA from 1 species
GAUGAACGCUGGCGGCGUGCCUAAUACAUGCAAGUCGAGCGAACAGACGCUGAGCUUGCUCCUCUGACGAUAUCGGCGGGCAGGGGAGUAACACGUGUAUAACCUCUCUAUAAUACUGGGAUAACUUUGGGAAACCCGAUCUAAUAUCGGGUAUAAUAUUGAACCGCAUGGUUCAAUAGUGAAAGAGUUUUUUGCUGUCACUUAUAGAUGUAUCCGCGCCGCAUUAGCUAGUUGGUAAGGGAACGGCUUACCAAGGCAACGGUUUGUAUCCGACCUCUGAGGGGUGUCCGCCCAACUGGAAACUGAGAAAGGUCCAAACUCCUAACGGGAGGAACAGUAGGGAAUCUUCCGGAAUGGGGGAAAGCCUGACGGAGCAACGGCGCGUGAGGGAUGAAGGUCUUCCGAUCGUAAAACUCUGUUAGUAGGGAAAAAAAAAUGUGGAAGUAACUAUGCACGUCUUGACGGGAACUAAUCCAAAAGCCACGGCUAACUACGGG